UACGUAGGUGGCAAGCGUUGUCCGGAUUUAUUGGGUUUAAAGGGUGCGUAGGCGGCUUUGUAAGUCAGUGGUGAAAUACUCUAGCUUAACUAGAGGGGUGCCAUUGAUACUGCAGAGCUUGAGUACAGAUGAGGUAGGCGGAAUUGACGGUGUAGCGGUGAAAUGCAUAGAUAUCGUCAAGAACACCGAUAGCGAAGGCAGCUUACUGGGCUGUAACUGACGCUGAUGCACGAAAGCGUGGGGAGCAAACAGG
rnacentral:rRNA from 1 species